CGGGUGAGUACACGUGGGAACGUGCCCUUUGGUUCGGAACAACUCAGGGAAACUUGAGCUAAUACCGGAUGUGCCCUUCGGGGGAAAGAUUUAUCGCCAUUGGAGCGGCCCGCGUCUGAUUAGCUAGUUGGUGGGGUAAAGGCCCACCAAGGCGACGAUCAGUAGCUGGUCUGAGAGGAUGAUCAGCCACAUUGGGACUGAGACACGGCCCAAACUCCUACGGGAGGCAGCAGUGGGGAAUCUUGCGCAAUGGGCGAAAGCCUGACGCAGCCAUGCCGCGUGAAUGAUGAAGGUCUUAGGAUUGUAAAAUUCUUUCACCGGGGACGAUAAUGACGGUACCCGGAGAAGAAGCCCCGGCUAACUUCGUGCCAGCAGCCGCGGUAAUACGAAGGGGGCUAGCGUUGCUCGGAAUUACUGGGCGUAAAGGGAGCGUAGGCGGACUGUUAAGUUAGAGGUGAAAGCCCAGGGCUCAACCUUGGAAUUGCCUUUGAUACUGGCAGUCUUGAGUACGGAAGAGGUAUGUGGAACUCCGAGUGUAGAGGUGAAAUUCGUAGAUAUUCGGAAGAACACCAGUGGCGAAGGCGACAUACUGGUCCGUUACUGACGCUGAGGCUCGAAAGCGUGGGGAGCAAACAGGAUUAGAUACCCUGGUAGUCCACGCCGUAAACGAUGAGUGCUAGUUGUCGGCAUGCAUGCAUGU
rnacentral:rRNA from 1 species